GUCAACCUUUGCCAAAAUGGACCCUUGACAGAAGUUCCCUGCGUCUGCUGACUUAUCCGUGUAUUCUUCGACAUAUGGGUUAUUACCCAGCGGAUGUGGGUAGUUAGGAGCUUGGCCGAAGGGUCCGUUGGGUAAAGCGAGAGGCUGAUGGUCGGAUGGUGACAGGUCCUUUGCAGAUGACAGCUUCGGCGAAUAGGAAAAAGAAGUAUCAUCGUCUUCGUCUUCUCCGGCAUCACCGUCCUCCACCGACGUGAUCUCGUCCGUCCACUCUCCGGCCAGAGGGUUUCUG
rnacentral:lncRNA from 1 species